UACGUAGGGUGCAAGCGUUGUCCGGAAUUAUUGGGCGUAAAGCGUGCGCAGGCGGUUUUGUAAGCCAGAUGUGAAAUCCCCGGGCUCAACCUGGGAACUGCAUUUGGGACUGCAAGGCUUGAGUACGGCAGAGGGGGGUAGAAUUCCUGGUGUAGCGGUGAAAUGCGUAGAUAUCGGUAGGAACACCAGUGGCGAAGGCGGUCUCCUGGGGCAUUCUUGACGCUGAUGCGCGAAAGCCAGGGGAGCAAACGGG
rnacentral:rRNA from 1 species